AUUGAACGCUGGCGGCAGGCCUAACACAUGCAAGUCGAGCGAGCGGCGGACGGGUGAGUAAUGUAUGGGGACUGCCCGAUCGAGGGGGAUAACUGCUGGAAACGGUGGCUAAUACCGCUUACUAUCGGAUAACCCAUAGGGGAUUAGCUAGUAGGUGGGGUAAAGGCUCACCUAGGCGACGAUCUCUAGCUGGUCUGAGAGGAUGAUCAGCCACACUGGGACUGAGACACGGCCCAGACUCCUACGGAGGCAGCAGUGGGGAAUAUUGCACAAUGGGCGAAAGCCUGAUGCAGCCAUGCCGCGUGUAUGAAGAAGGCCUUAGGAUUGUAAAGUACUUUCAGCAGAGAGGCGUUACCUACAGAGGAAGCACCGGCUAACUCCGUGCCAGCCGCCGCGGUAAUAC
rnacentral:rRNA from 1 species